CUCCCCCCCAACCACGCUUUCCCCAGGCUAACCAUAAGUUCAUUCUCUAAGUCUGUGACUCUGUUUCUGUUUUGUAAGUAAGUUCAUUUGUAUCUGGUAACCUGGUUUUUGUGGCUGCCACCCAAGGGAUGCUCCUUGAUCUGGUGGCUCUGUUGGCCAGCGUUGGAAGGGGUGGGUGUAGGGUUAGCGGUGGGAUGGAGGGGUGGGAGGGUAGGGAGGAGGCAGGGGGUGGCGGCUUGCAUUCCUGGGUCCCACAGGACUGUGGCAAUCAGAGAGGUAGUUCUUGGCAGGCUAUCACCGCCAGGGCACCGCACAGACAACGGACUGAAACACACCCCCAGUCUUUCUACGAAGGAGGUCUCUUUGCUUGUCCUGGAGCUUUGGCCUGAGGGGCUGGCUUCAGGUCUGGCUCACAUUUAGUGGCCUAUAGAGCUGCUUUCAAGGAAUGUAGGCUGUAGAACGUAGCGCCCCUUGGCACUCUCCCUCCGCCUCGCGCCAGCUCACCACUAUCACCCAGAAAAGGAACUUACACACUCAUUUGGAGCCCUGAUUUCGGCAGCUGCCACCCAGGGGACCCCUCCAAAUCUUCCGACGCUGGUGGGCAUCAGGGGUUACACUUAACAGUCCCACAGGACUGUAUAUAUCUACAUACUUAAAGGAAAAACUGAUCCUGAGGGUCUAGCUUGCAGUCAGCCUGAAUCUAGGUUCUGAGAGCCUCCCGUUUGAGACACUGACAGGUCUUAGCACAUCCUCAACUAUGAGGAGUUAUUAAAUACAUACAGUAAGUCCCCUACAUACAAACCUUCAAGUUGCGAACUUUCAAAGACGCAAAUGUGCGUUCGCGUGUCCAAUCAUGUAAGUUAGUUCACGUGUCUAGAGUACAUUGGUCACAUCGCAUGCAUCUUCUACAAGUGGCUGUGCUUUUGCGUACUUUACUGUACAGUACUGUAUAGAGGACAGUAGUACAGCAUCUUUAUUUCAAGCCCAGGAUGUCUGGAAGCAAGUGUAAAAGCAGCAGUGAUAUACCUGGUACUUUUCAAGGUAAUGUACUGUAAGAUUAAAAAUGUUUUCUUUAUUUUUUGCGUUUGUCUUUUAUGUAUUAUUUGUGUGAAAAGUAUGAUAAACCUAUUACAGUACAGUACUAUAUAGCCGAUUGUCUUAGUUGGGUACCCAGGCUAACUCUGUUGGACUUGCCAACGAAUUAAACUUACGAACGCGCUCUUGGAACGGAACUCGUUCAUAUGCAGGGGACUUACUGUAGUAGGCUGCUUGGACAAGCACAAAGGUUAGAGAGACAAACAGGAGCUGAGGCAGAGCUGAAUGACAAGGUUCAUCUCCUGCAUGAGGCUACUCCUUCAAAACUGGAAAAGGUUGUUGCUUCAUCUCUAUAGAAGCCAACACAGAGACACAGAGGGGUUGAAUGGAUGAAAAACCAAGACCCAUCCACAUGCUGCCUACAAGAGACUCCCUUUAGAUAUAAGGAUACACACAGACUGAAAGUGAAGGGAUGCAAAAAGAUAUCCCAUGCAACUAGAAGUUAAUUUCACGAGGAAACCUGGAAAAUCACACAGAUGUGGAGAUUGAAAAACAUGCCACUGAACAACCAAUGGAUCAUCUUGCUUUUCUAGAUUUUCUUGGGGACACAGCACAUACACUACCUAAGACUGACCUUGGUGAUGCAGUGGAUGCUCUCAUGUGCUUCUUGAGUGCUAGUUCAAUGCCAUUUUUACCGCCUAACCUCAGCAUUCUGACUCAGAGCUCUAAUGAGCAGAAAUGCCUCCUGGCCCAUCUAGAUAGAUCCCAACCAGCAUCUCUGCUCCCAGUGCUGACUAUACUUGGUAUCUCUUUUACACACUUUAUUUUUAUUUCAAAGGGUAACAUUAGGAAGAGCAAAUCAGGUCUCCCUCUUUUUUGCCUGAAGACCACAGAAGUAAAUCUGCGGUUUCCUGAAAGCCUCAGACCAUACUGCUCAAAAAUGUCAAGGGUAAAGAUGAGAGACUAGGUUAAAUUUCUCUUGGGAUUCCUUUCAGCUGAAGGAUAUGUGAGAGAUAAAUUCAUCCGUUCAUCCAUCCACCCACCUGUCACUUUAUAUAUUUAUUCAACUCACUUUUAUUAUGUACCUCCUAUGACCAGCACUCUUCUUGAGCAUUAUGACUGCAUUAACCUCUCACCUCUCCAGUAGAUCAUGAGGGUAGCACCUGGCAAAGGGUAGACAAAUGAAUAUUUGCUGAAUGCAUAAAUGAGUGAACUAGGGAAUGGAUCUAUUAGAAGAAAAUUAUAUCCCAAAGAUACGUCAGCAUGACUUCCUGGUUAUUCACGCCAGCGUUCUCUUCCAAAUGGCAAAGAUAAAAUGCUGACUCUAUUAUUAAAAAUCUUCAUAAAUUCAGACACUAUUUUGGAAUCUGUGGUAAUUUAGAAAAGGGCGGUAUUAGCUGGGAGGAAAAUAACCUCCGUAAAUAUUUUGAGGCGAAAAAUGUAAAACAUUUCAGAAAUCCCUUUAAACACUUAACUAGCCUCCAUAUAUGUGAAUUUAAAUUGUUAUUUAUUAAUUAAAGGGAUUCCUUUAAGACCUCUGCUAAGUCAUUCUCUCUUGAGUAACGGAACAUUUUUUAAAGCAACACUAAGUUUGAAAAUAUUUUACAAUUUAAGGAUAUUCAGAUUUAUCUCCUGCAACUAGUCCCAAUUAAGGGGAGUUUUCUCAAAUUAUAAAACCUCUUGCAGUGAGAGACCCUGAAGCACUUCACAUGUAUGGGCUUAUUCAUUAUGCCUCUAUCAUAAGAAGCAUGCAAGCAACAGUGCUGUCAAUUCUAAAUUGAAAAGAGGUGUACUAAAGCCCUUCAGCAAGGUAAAACAAGCCACACGGGGUUCUCGGGGAAGAGCACUCCAGGCAGAGAGAACAGCUCACGCUUCAGCCCUGAAGCAGGGUUCUUACCAUGGGGUCCCUGAACCUCAUGUAGGUCCAUAGACGGAAUUCAGGGGUUUGUGACCUUUCCACUUACUCCAGCUGAGAUUUAGCAUUUCCAUCAACUAUGAACAUAAGCAACAAACCAAGGUAGCAGUACCUUGGAUGCUGAAGCCAACGGAAAUCACAGAUAUUUUCAUAUCACAUUAUAAUUCUUACAGAUAUCUCACAAUAUCUUUUAUACCAUCACUACUUCAAAACUAUGGUAUUUAUUGGAUGAAUGUUAGCUUUUCAAUUGAAUGCUUAGUAAAGAAACAUUAUUAGAUCGCAUACUUGCUUUAUUAAUAUUGUGAUAUCUGUAUUUUGAUUAUAAUUGGUUUUCUUUAUAAUAUACAGUCUGCAUCUGAAAGCACUGUUCUGAGAAGCAGUCCCCUAGGCUUCAUCAGACUAGACUCCAGGGCAUGCUUCUCUUAUUUUGGAAAAAGAUAAAAGAACACUGUGGCUGCAGGGAUGUGAGCAAGGUCAGAGAAAUGGCAGGUCGGGUGGGGGCUCAGAUCAUAGAGAGCCUUACAGUUCAUUGUAAGGCUCUGGUUUUUAUUCUAAAGGCUUUGAAGAGUUGUGUGUUCUGACUCUUGAUUUUAAAGGAUUACUUUGACUGCUACGUUGAGAGUAGAUUGUAGGGGGCAAGGGCAGAGAGGGAGACCAGCGAGGAGGCUGUGAUUACAAUCCAGCCUAGAGAUGAUGGUGGGUUGGAGCAGCUUGGUAGCAACUGAAGUGGUGAGAAAUGUUCAGAUUCUGGAUAUAUUCUGAAGGUGGAUAUAUCUUGAAGGAUUUCUCUGGGGAAUGGGGGAUUGAUGGACAGAGGGUUAUGUCAGAGAGAAAUGCAGGUCAAAAAUGAUGUCAAGAUUUUAGGCUCACGCAACUGAAAUAAAGGCACUGCCAUUCUCUGAGACUCAGAGAAAAACUCCAUGAAGAAGCAAUUUGGGGAGCAAAACUCAGGCAUUCAGUUUUGGAUAAGUUAGGUUUGAAACAUCUGAUAUUCACUGAGGGAUGCUGAACAGGCACUUGGAUCUGUUCACCUAGGCUUAGAGGAAAGGUCUGGGCUGGAAAUACAAAUCUAGGAGUUGUCAGCAUACAGAUGACAUCUGAAUCCUUGAGCAUGAAUGAGAUCGAUGAGGGAGUGAGUACAGCUAGAGAGCAGAAAACGUCUGAGCACUAGUCCUGAGGUACCUUAACUUAGAGAUCAGAGAUGUGAGGCAAAGCCAGCGGAGGAGGCUGAAAAGGAACAGGUGAUACGGUGGGUGUAGAACUGGGAGCGUGGUUUCCCAGAAGCUGAUGAGAAAGUAUUUCACGAAGGAGGGAGGGAAUAGCUACUGUCAAAUGCAGUCACUGUCAAAGGGCCAAGUAAAAGGUCUGAGGAUUGACCACUGAAUUGGCAAUGCACAGACUUACAUGGUGGGCCUGCUGGUAACCUUGACAACAGCUCUGAAGGUUGAGUGGUGUGGAUAAGCUUGGCUGGAGUGAGCUCACGAGAGGAUGAGGGGAGAUGAAACUGGAGACUGUACGAACUACUCGAGGCGUUUCGCUAUGAUGGAAAUUGAGGAAUGAGGCAGUAGCUGGAGGGGGAAGUGGAGUCAAGGUCAGGCUAUCUAAAGGUGGCUUCACUCACCUGGAAUUUGCAAAAUCUUCCUAACCGUUCUCACUGCUCCCACACUGGCCUUCCUUUCACUCUUUGAUUCCCUAGUCUAUUUUCAACAUGGUAGCCAGAGUGUUUCUCCUAAAACAUAAGUCAGAUCAUGUCAUUCCUCCAAUGGCUUCCAUCUCAUUCAGAAUAAAAAACAGAGUGCUUAUGAUGGCUUAUAUGGCGCUACGUGAUCUGCCUCUAUCAUCUCAAAAACAAAACAAAACAAAACAAAAACGCUGAGAGACAGAGAGAGGCAGAUUCUUGAUUAAAUCAUUUAUGUUCCUGAAUCUAGAUGUGUCCAAAGUUAGCUGCACCCUAGGACUUUUCAGUUUCCAGAGCCAGUAACUUCUCUAUUUUUCUUGAGCCAGUUUGAGGUGGGUCUCUGACACUUGUAACCAUGGGCGUCUGGACUAAAAACGUAGGUAUGAAAACCACCCAGAUGGCCAGAUGGCCACAGCAGCGCGCACUUCUGGGAACAAACUGGCAUCAUCGUAUUCCAAAAGGAAAUGUCGGAGAUGAGAGGUUUGCAGUGAGCAGGAUGAGACCACAGCAGAAUACGGCCCGGCCUCUUCCUCCUCACUCUACACGACUAACCUGGCCACGUUCAUCAGCGUUUAAGAACACAGCGAUGAUUCCUAUGCUGACAAUGCCCGCAUCUGCCUGUCCAGCCUGAACCCAUCCCUCGAGUUCAACACCAACAGUUCCUGGACGUCUCCCAUCCGCGAGUCCCAAAGGUGCCUCAAACGCAGUAAGUCCCACAGCAAAUUCGCUCUCCCUCUCCUCUUACCUCCCCGUAGGCUUGUUCCGCAUCAUCAUUUCAGCACCGCAUCUAUCCAACCUCCCCACCUUGGAGCCUCAGAGCCACGCCCGUAUCUCGCCUCUGCAUCCUCCAUGUUUCAUUUGCCACCAAGUUAGAAAAAACCAUCACUUCUAACUUAGGAUGUUCCUGGAUCAUCUCUUCUUCUCCAUUCUCACGAUGAAAACUGAACAUUUAAGCUACCACUAGUCACCUCCAGGGCAUGGGAAGAAAUGAUGUUGCCAGUUUAUAAGAUUAGAGGCAAACUGAACACAGUGUAGGCAAAGCACAAAGGGAAUCGUUACUAAUCGAUGAAACAAAUGAACAAGAGUUCACAGUUUCAGUGUCGAAGAGAAUAUCUCAAAGCUACUAGCACAAAAGGUACAUACCCUUCUUGACUGGUGGGUCAAUCCUCACAAUGCAGUACAUUUUGCAAGGCAUUUCCCUCUUUUGAGUUAACUGGUAUCAUACCCUUUUGUUCUUUUGGCAAUAGAUAUGUAACUAAGUUUUUUGGAUAUAAAGGAUUAUCCUUCAAUGAGGCCGUAUCCAGAACUUCCUCCAGAUAUAAGGCUCUGGCUUUUACCAUUCACAGAAUUCUCUUGAAUAGCUACGGGAGUACUUCCUGUUUAGUAGAAUUAUGUUAACAGAUGGGCAUAAUCAGGUCCCCAAGUAAUUUGAUCUGAGGACCUUAGAAACAAUCUGGGUCAUAGCAUCGAGCCCCAACUCCAUAAUCCAGAGUCUUUCCUCAAAGGUCUUUAAAACGUGUUUAUUUUGCCGUAGACGAAGGGUGCCAGCAAGUCCUCUUCCUGGUGUGGUCAGCCCUGACCUCUCAGCAACCCUGGACUCCUGCUUGGCUUGGGACUGAGCAGCUCUCUUUAACUCCAACAGUCGUAUCUCACAAGCACUACACAGUUCACUGCUGGAUAGUGUCCUCUGGGGUCUCGUUUACAGGCUAGAAAGGACCCCUGAGAGUUAUUCUAUGUAUUACCUGAAAACCGAAAACCUCCAGUGGUUCCCUGAAGAACAAGACUCAAAGUCAAAGCUGGUGCAAAUCAAGCGCAGGGAUGCAUGCUGGAGUUUACAAGUGGUGACAACCACUGACCCCAGCACAGGGAAUUCCUCAACAGCAGCUCAAAUGGGGAUAAUCUUGGGACAUUCGGAGGCCCUUCCUGAUCAACAUCAAUUUUGGUAAUCUGUCAAUGUAACGUUGGGACGUGGAUCGACAAAGAGCUCUGAUACGUUCCUUAAAAGCUACAUUCAAUGUAUGGCUUGUUUGGAAGUCAUACACCAUGACCUACAAGUUGAUCUUGCUGCGGCCACCAGCAAGCCCUGGGAACUACGUGUGGGCUGCUGUCAGUGGAGCUCCCGGGGUGAUCUCUCAAGGCUUGGUUGACUCCCCAAGGCUCCCUUUCCUCCUCCCUCAAGGCACUGACGCUUCUCUUGUGUCUCUGAGCUGCCCCACUUACCCUGUUGAGCAGUUCCUCUCUCCUUAGGAGUGAUGGGGAGUAAGAUUCGGUUUUCCUAGCUCCAUAGCUUUGACACUUCUUGGAGGAGAAAAGCACAAAAGCCCUUCAAUGUCCGGGUACCACUGCUCACAACAGCUCAUCCUCCGGCCCCGGGAACCUCACCGUUCUCACCUCACUGUGGGUAAUCGCUAAGAUUUUCUACGUGCCUUCUCUCCACUAGGGACUUAGUUGCUAUUCUCUUUUAUCACUUGGAAAGUUUCUACUAAUUCUUAAAGAGCCAUCUUAAGGCCACUCUUCCAUGACCCCCUCUGACACUGAAGCUGAUUGCUCCUUUGUGAACCUUUGAACAUGCUGACAUGCCUAUUCCACCUUCAGAAUGAGCCCAGAGCAUGGCCCCGGCCCUGCCAUUUAACCCCAGUUUCUGGUUCACUCCUUGUUACCCACUGUUUCCUGAGGAAGAGUCUCUCAUUUUGAGAUAACAUUUGAGAUAAGUUCCAGGAGACACUUUGGCCCCAGUUACUGGCUAAAGCACUGGCUCUUAACCUUAACCUUGGCUACACAUUAGAAUCUUCUUGGGAGCUUUAAAAAACCUUGAUUCUCAGGCCAUACCAUGGACAAAUUAAAUCAGACUCUCUCAGGGCAGGGUGGGGUGGGGUCGGAGGUGAUGUCCAGGCCUGAACUGACACUACCCAUGGUAAUAAAAUGGCUUGAGCAGAUUGUCUGUCAGUCAUGAAAAUGAACACAUGGGUAUUCAAUUAUCAAAUACAUAACUGGCGGGAAUAAAUGAAUGAAAAAUAAGAAGAAACAGAGGGGCUCCUAAAUUGGGAUGUUACUAAAGAUGCUGAAAUUCUAUUCCGGUCCUCUGUUAUUGCACCCUAAUGUGGGGUGCUCUCCUGACAGUGACUCUUUUUCUAACAUCAAUAGUUCCUGAAUGCCUUUUUCAGGCUGUACCGAGAAGCUUUUUAAAAUUUCUGGAGGUUGAAUUCCAACUAAAUUUCCUCUCCUCAAGUCCCCACCUUCUGUGGGUCCUGUGCACCCUGCUCUCUCUCUAGGAAGGCGCAAUUAGGGCAGAGGAGUGAACGUGGACAAACAAGUCAUCCGAGGGCUUCUGAUGGUUCUGUGUGUUUAACACGAGAAGGAUUCCUCCAGAGUCCACAGCUAUCCUGAGCUCUCCAUCCAUGUCCAGGGGAUCUUAGAGCAUAAAAGAGCUAAAGUUGAGACCCCUGGGGGGCAGAGAGCAAGUAGGGCCUUUCUAACAAGAUAAGCAGAUACGAUUGGUUUGAGGCAUUGCCUCUUACGGCCUUUAAAGGAAAGCUCCCCAACUGCUCCCUAGCAGAUCUCAGACAGGUCUGGGGAGCUCAGCACCGACCACUCUGGCUUCCGCUCCGACAGCAUCUGAGGAGCCAAGAGGACACAGGGCCCACCCCAGGCACCACUCGGAGACCCGGAGGAGUGAAGCAACUUGUCACAUUAGAAACCUACGCUUCAGAAGAUCACCAAGAGAAGACCUGAAGUUGGAAAGCAAAGAGGAGGAGCCCAGGAGGAACCCUGCCUACGGGGUCAGCAUCCAGCAGGCUCCCCCAGGACCGAGUCAUUACAAUUUAGCUACCUUAUGCCAGCAUUUCCUUCUACUUCUUGACUGUGUAGAGAUUUACGUUUCCUCCAAAUGGGAAAUUGAGAUGGAUCAAAGGAGAAGAAAAUCAUAUUCCAAGGAGCAUUCAGAAUCUUCAGCGGAUCUUCAAAGAACAGAAAAUUGCUUUACAUAAUCCAAGUAUGAGUACAAAGAGGUCUGGGGCAAGUAUAUCAAGGGUUUGAGGCAGUAGGGAGUCAUUACCGCAUGGUGCAUGACUCGCCAUGUUCCUUUCAUGCUACUGCAGUGAUGGGCGAGGUAUGCAUCAAGGUGGGGCCUCAAUCCUCCUGGGGACAGAUGGGGGACACUCAGGUAGACCUCUGGCCUAACACGCUGGCAUCCUGCAGGCUGGCGAGAGGCCAGCCUCUCCGUGGACUCUGCCUGGAUCCUAGACCUCCCACCAUGGGACAGUUCUCCAGUGGGCACUGGCUGCUGCUCAUACCUGAGCCUCCGACACCUUGUCCCUAAGCUGCAGCACUUCCUAAGUCCUGCCUCAGACCUCUGCUUUGACACUCUCCUCUCUGAUUAGGCCACCUGGGUGCCCAUUCUGCUGUCUCAAGCCCAGAGCCUCCUUCUCCCUCCAUUUCCUUUGGAGUCACACAGACUUGGGAUUAAAUCUUAGCUGCCACACUCGUUACAUAUAUACACACGGGAGUACCAACAAUCCUGACAUUGGUAUAUGUCCUUCCCAUGAAUGUUUGCAUAUUUUUGCCAUAUAGUCAUACACCCAUAAAUAAAAUAUAUGACUGUGCCGUAAGUUUUAACUUUACAUGCUAAUAUAUUAUGAUUAUGAUUUUAAUGAGAUAUAAUUUAAAUACUAUAAAAUUCACCCUCUCAAAGUAUACAAUUCGGUGUUGUUGUUUUUUUUAGUGUAUUCAUAAAGUUGUGCAACCAUCAGUACUAUCUAAUUCCAGAACAUUUUCAUCACCGCAAAAAGACCCGUGCCUAUUAGUCAUUACUCUCCAUUCUCUUGCAUUUUCCUCUCCUCUUCGCCACUGGCAGCCUUUAAUCGGUCUCUAUGGAUGUGCCUACUCUAGACAUUUCAUGGAUAUGUAAUCAUACACUGUGUGAUCUUUUGUGUCUGGCUUCUUUCACUUACCAUCAUUUUUAAAGAUUCAUCCAUGUUUUAGCAUGUAUCAAUAUUUCAUUCCUUUUUACGACCAAAUAA